GGGCGUGGGGCGCCGGGACACGGGCGCUUCCCGCCCCCGGUGUUCGCAGCGGCCCCACGGGAGGCGACUGGCAGUCAACCGCGAUUGCUGUUCUGUCGCGACAUCCGCGGUUCGAGGGUGGGAGCUUCGAAAAAGGGGGCUGGAAGGCAAGGUUAAAGAAAACUCAGCGCGAGAUGUCUUCACGUUUAUUGCGCGUUUACAGGUUUAUCGCGAUUGAAGCGCCUCCGCCCACGGCUGGAAGGCCCCUCGGCCCGGCUGCCCCGCAGCCUUCAGCGGCAGGAGGUGCCACGCUGGGGGAGCGCAUUUAGCAAGCGAGGAGGUGCGGAAGGCAAAGCAUCGCUUCACACCUCGGCUGCAACUUCCCUCUUUGCUCACUGUUUCCCCCAUUUUUGCUUGAACACGCUUCCCGGCGGUGGCUGGGCUUCCCCCUUCAAGGCGUUGACACCCAGUUAUGGCAGAAAAGCAUGUGCUCCUGCCCGCCAUAAAUACUCCCCAGCCACUUCAUUUACUGCCAAUUAACUGACUCACCCGAUCUGAGCAGGAUCAGCAGAUAAUGGAAAUCUGGGUGUUUAUGGGGGAAAAGACACAGUGCAAAUGCCAGGGAAAUGUGGCCAGGAGGUGCUUGGAAAGCCAAGGAAGAGACAGUGAAUGGCUGGGAAAAAGUAAAAAUCACCCUCUCAGGCCCCUUGGCUGGGACGCAUGGGGCACGCUCCGCCCGUGCUCCGCCACCUCCUGUUUGUCCAGCGACUGCAAACACCCGCCUGAUGGAUUCCUGGGUUGCUCUGGAGACUGGUUUCCCGUGACCAACGCCCAUUUGCAAUAUUUUGUAAGUGAGAAGAGGCUCAUCAGCGAGCACCAUCGGUCCCACUCCAGUUUUCCCUUCAAACUGCCUCUGCUGGCUGGGGAGCAGCAGAGUUAAAACAAUACGUGCUCAGGCAUAAGCCCGGGAGGAUGUAAAGCAUUGCAUUAACAAAUUUAAUAGCCCCAAAUAGAUCAAAGCUUUCAAAUCACAUACUUAAAAAAAACCCCUCUUGGGCACCAGUCCGUGACCCCAGGACUCCAACAUGGGAUGCAGAAACCUGCGACUA